CCUACGGGCGGCAGCAGUGGGGGAUAUUGCACAAUGGGGGAAACCCUGAUGCAGCGACGCCGCGUGUGGGAAGACGGUCCUCUGGAUUGUAAACCACUGUCCCCAGGGACGAAGAUGACGGUACCUGGGGAGGAAGCUCCGGCUAACUACGUGCCAGCAGCCGCGGUAAUACGUAGGGAGCGAGCGUUGUCCGGAAUUACUGGGUGUAAAGGGGGCGUGGGCGGGGAUGCAAGUUGGGUGUCAAAACUACCGGCUCAACUGGUAGUCGCACUCAAAACUGCAGCUCUUGAGGGAAGUAGAGGCAGGCGGAAUUCCUAGUGUAGCGGUGAAAUGCUGAGAUAUUAGGAGGAACACCAGUGGCGAAGGCGGCCUGCUGGGCUUUUACUGACGCUGAGGCUCGAAAGUGUGGGGAGCAAACAGGAUUAGAUACCCGAGUAUC
rnacentral:rRNA from 1 species